AUGCAGUAUAAUAAAAAAAAAGAUAAAGAAAAAAUAUUAUUAAUUGAGUGUUUAAAUUUUUUAGAUGUGAAAAUAUAAUGAUUCAUUUGAAUAGGAUCCGCUUUUACUUAAAAAUUUGAGAACAAUAAUUUGGAGGCUAAAAGUGUUUAGGAUCAAGAUAAUUGCAUUUUUAGUGAAAGAUGGUUCUGGAAAGGGAGAGAGGAUAUUGACAGGCUCUGGUUGGUAUCUUUCCGUUGUUCUUAUCUUCCGCCGCAGACAAACAGGGUGCUAUAAAUGAUUUUGUUAUUGAUUUUUUUGGUAUAUGCGUUGUUGUGAUUAGCUGUUUCGAGACAUUUGAUUCUUUACAUGAAUAAUCAAGUUAGAGAAGUCACGCGCACUGUAUAAGUUCAUAAACAAUGCCACA
rnacentral:lncRNA from 1 species